CCCAGCUACUCAGGAGGCUGAGGCAGGAGAAUCGCUUGAACCCGGGAGGUGGAGGUUGCGGUCAGCCGAGAUCGUGCCACUGCACUCCAGCCUAGGCAACAAGAGUGAAACUCUGUCUUAAAAAAAAAAAUUUAAAAAUUAUAUUCGGGCCGGGCUUGGUGGCUCAAUCCUAUAAUACCAGCACCUUAGGAGGCCAAGGCAGGAGGAUCACUUGAGGCCAGGAGUUCAAGACCGGCCUGGGCAACAUAAUGAGAACCCAUCUUUACCAAAAAAAUAAAAUUACAUUAAAAAUUAGCUGGGCACGGUGACGUCUGCCUGAGGUCACAUUCAAGAAGCUGAUGUGGGAGGAUCGCUUGAGCCCAGGAAUUGGAGGCUACAGUGAGCUAAGAUCAUACCACUGCACUUCAGCCUGGGCGUCAGAGUGAGACCCUGUUUCUAAAAUAAUAAUAAUUUUAAAAAAUGAUAUUUAUGGUUGCAUUGGGAAAAGAUCAAUCUAUUAAUAUAUGUGAAGACAUUUUUGGCCUAAAAGUUAUAUAUAUUUUUUCCUUCUGAUUUUAAAAGAAAUGAGGCCAGGCAUGAUAGCUCAUACCUGUAAUCCCAGCACUUUGGGAGGCCCAGGUUGGUGGAUCACCUGAGGUCAGGAGUUCGAGACCAGCCUGGCCAACAUGGUGAAACCCCGUCUCUACUAAAAAUACAAAAAUUACCCGGGCGUGGUGUCACACGCCUCUAAUCCCAGCUACUCAGGAGACUAAGGCAGGAGAAUCGCUUGAACCCAGGAAGCGAAGGUUGCAGUGAGACCAGAUCGCAUCAUUGUACUCCAGCCUGGGCGACAAGAACAAAACUCUGUCUCCAAAACAAUAACAACAGCAAAACAAAUGAAUAAAACUCAUUAUAUUCAUUUGCUUUUAUUUAUUUAUAUUUAACUUUAUUAUUAUUAUUAUUAUUUUGAGACAGAGUCUCAUUCUAUCACCCAGGCUGGAGUGCAAUGAGGCGAUCUCACCUCAUGCAACCUCCAUCUCCCGGGUUCAAGCGAUUCUCCUGUCUCCUCCCAGGUAGCUGGGGUUACAGGUGUGCAGCACCACACCUGGCUAAUUUUUUUAUUUUUAGUGGAGAUUGGGUUUCAUCAUGUUGGCCAGGCUGGUCUCGAAAGCCUGACCUCAAGUGAUCCGCCCACCUUAGCCUCCCAAAGUGUGGGGAGCCACUGUCCCGGCAUAUUAUUACUUUUAGAGACGAGGUCUUGCUUUGUUUUCCAGGCUGGAGUACAGUGGCUCAAUCAUAGCUCACUGCAGCCUCAAACUCCUGGCCUUAAGCAAUCCUCCUACUUCAGCCUCCCAAAGUGCUGAGAUUAUAGGUGUGAGCCACUGCACCUGGCCUCUCUAUUCUCUACUUCCUCUUUCUAGAAUUUCUAUUAGGCGGAUGUUGAAUCUCCUGAAUUAAUCUCUAAUUUUCUUCCCUUCCCUUUCCCUUCUCCUUCCCUUCCCUUCCCCUUCUCUCCCCUCCCCUCCCCUCCCUUCCCCUCCCCUCCCCUCCC
rnacentral:lncRNA from 1 species